rnacentral:rRNA from 1 species
CCUACGGGUGGCAGCAGUGAGGAAUAUUGGUCAAUGGACGAGAGUCUGAACCAGCCACGUAGCGUGAAGGAUGACUGCCCUAUGAGUUGUAAACUUCUUUUAUAUGGGAAUAAAACGUUCCACGUGUGGGAUUUUGUAUGUACCAUAUGAAUAAGGAUAGGCUAACUCCGUGCCAGCAGCCGCGGUAAUACGGAGGAUCCGAGCGUUAUCCGGAUUUAUUGGGUUUAAAGGGAGCGUAGGUGGAUUGUUAAGUCAGUUGUGAAAGUUUGCGGCUCAACCGUAAAAGUGCAGUUGAAACUGGCAGUCUUGAGUACAGUAGAGGUGGGCGGAAUUCGUGGUGUAGCGGUGAAAUGCUUAGAUAUCACGAAGAACUCCGAUUGCGAAGGCAGUUCACUGGACUGCAACUGACACUGAGGCUCGAAAGUGUGGGUAUCAAACAGGAUUAGAUACCCUGGUAGUC